rnacentral:rRNA from 1 species
GCAAGUCGAGCGGUAACAGGAAUUAGCUUGCUAAUUCGCUGACGAGCGGCGGACGGGUGAGUAAUGCCUGGGAAUAUGCCUUAGUGUGGGGAUAACUAUUGGAAACGAUAGCUAAUACCGCAUAAUGUCUUCGGACCAAAGAGGGGGAUCUUCGGGCCUCUCGCGCUAAGAUUAGCCCAGGUGAGAUUAGCUUGUUGGUGAGGUAAGAGCUCACCAAGGCGACGAUCUCUAGCUGGUCUGAGAGGAUGAUC